rnacentral:rRNA from 1 species
AGUGAACGCUGGCGGCAAGCCUAACACAUGCAAGUCGAACGAGUGGCGGACGGGUGAGUAAUGUCUGGGAAACUGCCUGAUGGAGGGGGAUAACUACUGGAAACGGUAGCUAAUACCGCCUACCAUCGGAUGUGCCCAGAUGGGAUUAGCUAGUAGGUGGGGUAAAGGCGCACCUAGGCGACGAACCCGAGCUGGUCUGAGAGGAUGACCCGCCACACUGGAACUGAGACACGGUCCAGACGCCUACGGGAGGCAGCAGGGGGGAAUAUUGCACAAUGGGCUCAAGCCUGAUGCAGCCAUGCAGCGUGUAUGAAGAAGGCAUUCGGGUUGUAAAGUACUUUCAGCGGUGAGGCUUUACCCGCAGAAGAAGCACCGGCGAACUCCGUGCCAGCAGCCGCGGUAAUAC